rnacentral:rRNA from 1 species
AUGUCAAAAUGUGUUAAACAAUGUCCUUGUAAUGAGCCCAAGAACUGGAGGAGCCAUAGUAUCUCCUUGACGCGCCUUGAAGAAGUGGAAAUUUACAAAUUCAAAGGAGGGGAUCAUGAGAUUGAUUUCGUGACAAUGAUACUAAGUUGGGCUCCAAUGCUUACAAGAAUGACCAUCAGGCUAACUCAUGAGAUUAAUCCAAGUGACAUUGGAGAUUGCGCCAAGAGUAUUUACAUAAUUUGUUUUGGUCAUCCUUUCGUUAACUCCUUCGUUUAUCUUAGCAAUGGGGAAUUGGUACCAUGCUCCCAGAUGUAA